rnacentral:lncRNA from 1 species
GAGCAUUUCCUUUGGAUAUUUGACAUAACAGGAGAAAUCGACUGCAACAUAUGAUUUGGACUAUAUAGAUGCUGGGCCAAACUUCAAUUCUCAUGGUGGAAUUUCUGCUUCUCCUCCUCCGCCACGACCAAAACCUCCUCAAGACUCCAACUGAUUGCUCUGUUUUAAAUUUUGCAAAGUUUUCUCUUAGAUCUGAUGAUGAGACUUGUAGAAAGUUGGGCUUUCAUAAUUGGGCUUUAAAUUUGUAGCGCUUUCUUUUCCUCUGCUCCACUUUCAGUUCAUGUAAUGACAAUGUUUUGAUUGUUGUGUUAAAUUUUGCCAUUCUGAUGGCUAUGGGGCGGGCCAGGUUUGGCAAAACCCACAAAAAAUUCAACCCGUCUCGCCCCCUAUAGUUAUUUUUUUCUGUUUUUAACCCGACUCGCCCCACUUAAAUUUUUUUUUUUCUAAAACAAAUUAGUUUGAUAUUUUAUUAUUUUGUAUAAUAGAG